GCACAUGCACUGCCAGCGAGUCAACCAGUCAGUCCACUUCCAACAAGUAGGCCUGCUCACAGCUGCUGGACCAGAGGAAGGCUGUUGAAGCAUAGAAUGGAUGCCCCUCUAUUACUAGGCUGAAUGUUUUUCCAGCCCCUUUCAACAGCAGAGGGGAGUCCUUGCAACCCCUUCCACAUUGGUCAGCCAAGCCAGAGCAACCCUCUGUCAGGGCAGUGAUGAUAGCGUGACCUCCUG
rnacentral:lncRNA from 10 species